GACCUACCAACCGGGUGGACACGGGGGGACAUGUGCCUCCAAUAUUUUCAAAGGACCAAAAGUGUCCCUUUUCGUACAGUCUAAUGGUAUUACUAUAUUACUGCAAAUACUAUAUUAACAUCGAAGAUUCGAAGGUGCCCUUUUUGUUUCCUGAACAUUUAUGUAUUCCUUUUAAUUAAGCUAGUUAUGUUGUAAAUUAUCAUGUAAGUAAAUCCAAUGAAAGAAAUUUAUAGGAAAUUUCGAUGUUUUAUAAUAAAAUGGUCAAAAACGUUGAUCGGUAUGUUACGAUUCCAAAUUUUGGCAAAUGUAUUAUAUUAAAUUUUAGGUGCCCUUUCAUUAUCCAAUAGGGCCCAUCGAAGCCGAUGCCCUCCCCCAAUCUUUUGAUGCCUCCUACGUCCCGUUUAUGUAGAAAAGCCAUUCCGACGCCAAUGUCAGUGGGUUGUCCAGAACGUUUCUGCCAGGAUUGUAGCUCGACGCUAUUCCAACUAAACUACACGUACGGUCAGGGCCGAUAGAAAACUGGAAAUUAUGAACUGAUACUUAGGCGAAACUUUUUUAUUC